CUCUUGAUCAGAUGAAUUUUCUCUCUAGCAUCUUGAACUAACUCUGAACUCAAUAAUUUUUUUCACCAAUGUCAUCUCAAUGCAAAGAAGAUCUACACUUUCUUUCGUAUAAGGCUUCAUAGAGUGCCAUCUUGAUACUAGAAUGAAAACUGUUGUUAUAAGUAAAUUCUAUUAGAGUCACGUGAUCAUCCCACUAUCCUCCA
rnacentral:lncRNA from 1 species